AAUAGAUACCCUGGUAGUCCACGCCCUAAACUAUGUCAACUAGUUGUCGGGGAAGAAAUUCCUUGGUAACGCAGCUAACGCGUGAAGUUGACCGCCUGGGGAGUACGGCCGCAAGGUUAAAACUCAAAGGAAUUGACGGGGACCCGCACAAGCGGUGGAUUAUGUGGAUUAAUUCGAUGCAACGCGAAAAACCUUACCUACCCUUGACAUGUACGGAGUUCCGCAGAGAUGUGGAAGUGCCCGAAAGGGAACCGUAACACAGGUGCUGCAUGGCUGUCGUCAGCUCGUGUCGUGAGAUGUUGGGUUAAGUCCCGCAACGAGCGCAACCCUUGCCAUUAGUUGCUACAUUCAGUUGGGCACUCUAAUGGGACCGCCGGUGACAAACCGGAGGAAGGUGGGGAUGACGUCAAGUCCUCAUGGCCCUUAUGGGUAGGGCUUCACACGUAAUACAAUGGUCGGUACAGAGGGCUGCCAACCCGCAAGGGGGAGCUAAUCCCAGAAAGCCGAUCGUAGUCCGGAUUGUAGUCUGCAACUCGACUGCAUGAAGCCGG
rnacentral:rRNA from 1 species